rnacentral:rRNA from 1 species
CGGUGUUUAACUGGCGUGAUGUGGGACGUCCUACCGGUGGGCUUAGCCUCGCGAGGGGCGGCCCAACUAAUAUCCCGUCGCGGUGCUCUUUACUGAGUGUCGAGUCGGGCCGGUACGUUUACUUUGAACAAAUUAGAGUGCUUAAAGCAGGCUAUCCUCGCCUGAAUACUGCGUGCAUGGAAUAAUGGAAUAGGACCUCGGUUCUAUUUUGUUGGUUUUCGGAACCCCGAGGUAAUGAUUAAUAGGGACAGAUGGGGGCAUUCGUAUUGCGACGUUAGAGGUGAAAUUCUUGGAUCGUCGCAAGACGGACAGAAGCGAAAGCAUUUGCCAAAAAUGUUUUCAUUAAUCAAGAACGAAAGUUAGAGGUUCGAAGGCGAUCAGAUACCGCCCUAGUUCUAACCAUAAACGAUGCCAGCUAGCGAUCCGCCGAAGUUCCUCCGAUGACUCGGCGGGCAGCUUCCGGGAAACCAAAGCUUUUGGGUUCCGGGGGAAGUAUGGUUGCAAAGCUGAAACUUAAAGGAAUUGACGGAAGGGCACCACCAGGAGUGGAGCCUGCGGCUUAAUUUGACUCAACACGGGAAACCUCACCAGGCCCAGACACCGGAAGGAUAGACAGAUUGAUAGCUCUUUCUUGAUUCGGUGGGUGGUGGUGCAUGGCCGUUCUUAGUUGGUGGAGCGAUUUGUCUGGUUAAUUCCGAUAACGAACGAGACUCUAGCCUGCUAAAUAGGCGUACCUUAUGGUAUCGCGAAGGCCCCCGGCUUCGGCCGGUGGGUUUUUACUACCAACGUACAAACAAAUCUUCUUAGAGGGACAGGCGG